AGUGAACGCUGGCGGUAGGCCUAACACAUGCAAGUCGAACGGCAGCACAGGAGAGCUUGCUCUCUGGGUGGCGAGUGGCGGACGGGUGAGGAAUACAUCGGAAUCUACUCUGUCGUGGGGGAUAACGUAGGGAAACUUACGCUAAUACCGCAUACGACCUACGGGUGAAAGCAGGGGCUCUUCGGACCUUGCGCGAUUGAAUGAGCCGAUGUCGGAUUAGCUAGUUGGCGGGGUAAAGGCCCACCAAGACGACGAUCCGUAGCUGGUAUGAGAGGAUGAUAAGCCACACUGGAACUGCGACACGGUCCAGACUCCUACGGGAGGCAGCAGUGGGGAGUAUUGGACAAUGGGCGCAAGCCUGAUGCAGCCAUACCGCGUGGGUGAAGAAGGCCUUCGGGUUGUAAAGCCCUUUUGUUGGGAAAGAAAUCCAGCGGGCUAAUACCCGGUUGGGAUGACGGUACCCAAAGAAUAAGCACCGGCUAACUUCGUGCCAGCCGCCGCGGUAA
rnacentral:rRNA from 1 species